rnacentral:rRNA from 1 species
AGUGAACGCUGGCGGUAGGCCUAACACAUGCAAGUCGAACGGCGGCACAGUAAGAGCUUGCUCUUACGGGUGGCGAGUGGCGGACGGGUGAGGAAUACAUCGGAAUCUACUUUUUCGUGGGGGAUAACGUAGGGAAACUUACGCUAAUACCGCAUACGACCUACGGGUGAAAGCAGGGGAUCUUCGGACCUUGCGCGAUUGAAUGAGCCGAUGUCGGAUUAGCUAGUUGGCGGGGUAAAGGCCCACCAAGGCGACGAUCCGUAGCUGGUCUGAGAGGAUGAUCAGCCGCACUGGAACUGAGACACGGUCCAGACUCCUACGGGAGGCAGCAGUGGGGAAUAUUGGACAAUGGGCGCAAGCCUGAUCCAGCCAUACCGCGUGGGUGAAGAAGGCCUUCGGGUUGUAAAGCCCUUUUGUUGGGAAAGAAAAGCAGCAGGUUAAUACCCCGCUGUUCUGACGGUACCCAAAGAAUAAGCACCGGCUAACUUCGUG